rnacentral:tRNA from 1 species
GCCACUUUAGCUCAGUUGGUAGAGCGACGCAUUCGUAAUGCGUAGGUCGUGGGUUCGAGUCCCAUUAGUGGCU